CAAGGAUAUGUAGUGAUAUAUAUCUGGUUCAUCAGAAGUCAGCCGAGGCCAUAGUACCUUUUUGUUUAAGGGAAGGGC
rnacentral:ncRNA from 1 species